CAAAGCUCUGUGGCGAGAAUAUCCCUGGCAAAUCCACAGGACAGAAAGUGCAGCCAUCGGUACAUGAGGAAUACAUGGAAGGAAGUGGCAGCAUUUAAGGGUGGAACGCAGCGAAUCUGGAAAUAUAAUCUGGAAAAUACCAUAAACCAAGAUACCUGUGAGCAGGUGAUUGGUAAAGACACUGAACAGUAUAUGUAAAAAGGAUAUCAGAAGACUCUGAAAGGUAGAGAGAAGAAAGAAGACUUGCC
rnacentral:lncRNA from 10 species